rnacentral:lncRNA from 1 species
GUUUAUUUGAGACAUGUCUUUCUUUUUGAUGUAAGCCUUUAUCACUACAAACUUUGCUCUUAGAAUGGCUUUUGCUAUAUCUGGUACGUUUCAAUGUUUUGUGUUCCCAUUUUCAUUUGUCUCAAAGUUUUUUUUUUUCCCUUUCGAUUUCUUCUCUGACCUGUUGAUUGUUCCAGAAUGUGUGACGUAGUUGCCUCAUGUUUGUGAGUUUUUCCACUCUCCUCCUGUCAGUGGAGACUAGUUUCAUACCAUCGUUGCAGUCUGGAACCAAACACACCAUAUCCCCAAGGUAUGCCUGUGUAAUUCAAAACCACACACGUUAGCUUUGUCCUAUUCCCUGUCUGUGGGAUUUCUUGUCCUCUGGGGCCCAAGACUCCUGGAGAAAAAGGGGAGGAGGGGAUUUCCUGAUGAGAUUCCUGCAUGGGUUGAGGGAUUCCAUCUGGGCCAUGGGUGGUUCUGUGAUGGGGGAGGGGGGUCUGUUAAAUCCUCUGGGACAUCUCGGGACAGACUAGAGCAAGAAGCAGAAAACCCUCAGAUGUGGCAUGAAAAACACCCAAAUGUUUCCCAGGAGCCGUCCAAUUUCCAUUGAGGGGUAUCCGCCCACCAUGGAAGGACCUACGUCUGUCACUAUGAGACCUCCUUCUGGUCGGAAUACUGUCAUACCCUAGAGCUGAGAGUGACAGGGCAGGACUCGACCCUGUGGCCUGCAGAGUCCGCUGGACACAUGACCUCAUCUCCUAGUGACUGUCACAGAGCCUAGGUCCCAAGUGCUGAGGUGUGGGGGUUCCAGCUCAGACCACCGAGCAGCGGGACGAGAUGAAUGCCUUCUAGGCUGGGCGUUUGGGGCUGGUGGAUGCAAACUAUUAUAUUUCGGAUGGAAGUGAUGAGGUCCUGCUGUACAGCCCGGGGAACUCUAUCCAGUCUCUUGGGAUAGACCACGAUGGAAGAUAUAUGAGAAAAAGAAUGUAUAUAUAUGUAUACACAUAUAUAUGAAUGACUCGGUCACUUUGCCAUACAGUAGAAAUUGGCAGAGCAUUGCACAUCAAUUACACUUUUUAAAAAUUUUUUUAAAGAUUAAUACCUGCCAAGGGUGGCCAAUGAAGACAGGAAUGUGGGGAUCUUUGUGUCGUGACACAGCGGAUCUUCCUGGUCCAUGGCUGAAGAUGCAGGCUCUGCUACAGUGUGCUACCAUGUGA